rnacentral:rRNA from 1 species
UACGGGGGGGGCAAGCGUUGUUCGGAAUUACUGGGCGUAAAGGGCUCGUAGGUGGCCAACUAAGUCAGACGUGAAAUCCCUCGGCUUAACCGGGGAACUGCGUCUGAUACUGGAUGGCUUGAGGUUGGGAGAGGGACGCGGAAUUCCAGGUGUAGCGGUGAAAUGCGCAGAUAUCGGGAGGAACACCAAUGGCGAAGGCAGCUCGCUGGGACGUUACUGACGCUGAGACGCGAAAGCGUGGGGAGCAAACAGG